GUCGACAGCAGUGCCACCCUGAACAAGCCCAAUCUCGUCCGAUCUCGGAAGCUAAGAAGGGUCGGGCCUGGUUAGUACUUGGAUGGAGACCACCUAGGAAGACUAGGUGCUGUAUGCA
rnacentral:rRNA from 1 species